rnacentral:rRNA from 1 species
GCAAGUCGAACGGCAGCACGAGAAAGCUUGCUUUCUUGGUGGCGAGUGGCGAACGGGUGAGUAAUGCAUCGGAACGUGCCAUUUAGUGGGGGAUAGCCAAGGGAAACUUUGAUUAAUACCGCAUACGCUCUACGGAGGAAAGUUGGGGAUUCGCAAGAACCUGACGCUAAAUGAUCGGCCGAUGUCAGAUUAGGUAGUUGGUGGGGUAAAAGCCUACCAAGCCUACGAUCUGUAGCUGGUCUGAGAGGACGAUC